CGUAGGCGGCCCUGCAAGUCCGAUGUGAAAUCCCUCGGCUCAACCGGGGACCCGCGUCGGAAACUGCAGGGCUUGAGUGCAGGAGAGGAGAGCGGAAUUCCCAGUGUAGCGGUGAAAUGCGUAGAUAUUGGGAGGAACACCGGUGGCGAAGGCGGCUCUCUGGACUGCUACUGACGCUGAGGCGCGAAAGCUAGGGGAGCAAACGGGAUUAGAUACCCCGGUAGUCCUAGCCGUAAACGUUGGGCACUAGGUGUGGGAGGUAUCGACCCCUUCCGUGCCGCAGCUAACGCAUUAAGUGCCCCGCCUGGGGAGUACGGCCGCAAGGUUGAA
rnacentral:rRNA from 1 species